rnacentral:rRNA from 1 species
UACGAAGGGUGCAAGCGUUAUCCGGAUUCACUGGGUUUAAAGGGUGUGUAGGCGGAUUUUUAAGUCAGUGGUGAAAUCUCCGGGCUCAACCCGGAAACUGCCAUUGAUACUAUUAGUCUUGAAUUCUGUUGAGGUGGGCGGAAUACAUCAUGUAGCGGUGAAAUGCUUAGAUAUGAUGUAGAACACCGAUUGCGAAGGCAGCUCACUAAGCAGACAUUGACGCUGAGGCACGAAAGCGUGGGGAUCAAACAGG